rnacentral:lncRNA from 1 species
CGCCGGAGCAACCCCCAGGUCUUUACUUUACAAUCGGCAAUUUGACUUGCUCUGCUGCAUGUCUGGAGGGACCAAGGAAAGUGUGGAGACGCUCCAAGGAUUAGGUGAUCGGAGCUUGAAAAGAAAAAAAGCCAAACAAAUAAACAAAACCCACCCACCCUAACAAAUAUGAGGCUGCUGGAGAGAAUGAGGAAAGACUGGUUCAUGGUCGGAAUAGUGCUGGCGAUCGCUGGAGCUAAACUGGAGCCGUCCAUAGGGGUGAAUGGGGGACCACUGAAGCCAGAAAUAACUGUAUCCUACAUUGCUGUUGCAACAAUAUUCUUUAACAGUGGACUAUCAUUGAAAACAGAGGAGCUGACCAGUGCUUUGGUGCAUCUAAAACUGCAUCUUUUUAUUCAGAUCUUUACUCUUGCAUUCUUCCCAGCAACAAUAUGGCUUUUUCUUCAGCUUUUAUCAAUCACACCCAUCAACGAAUGGCUUUUAAAAGGUUUGCAGACAGUAGGUUGCAUGCCUCCGCCUGUGUCUUCUGCAGUGAUUUUAACCAAGGCAGUUGGUGGAAAUGAGGACCCUCCUUGCCUGGUGUCAUUUCUUGAGCUCUCCUGGGAGGAGAUUAGUCUAAAACAACAAAGUAGCCAGAUGUCUGGUUCUGAGAGAGUCCCAGAGGCCAGGCUAUGGUAGGCAACAGAAACCGCGUGGGGCUGAAGAUCAAAGAUACCUGAGAAUUACUUAUGGGCACAUAGUAUGUGUCAUUCCCAUUAUUAACAGUCUGAGAAAAUUUGUUUCUCUAAUUAACCCUUUUGUUGGAAUAACCUUAAAUUUUAGUGAGUAUAUUUCUGUUUUGAUAUGUUUUCUUUUGUGCAGUAUUAAGUGCACACACC